UUUCAUUUGCUCAUUUGGCGCCCCGGCUUCUCAGUAAAAAGCUCCGCCUCCCAACUUUCAUUCUGGUUUACCAAGUGGCCCGAGAGACGGAGACUUUCAGAUAUUUUUGAGCUUUGAAACU
ensembl:ncRNA K08E5.7 ncRNA